CUACAGGCUUUGCAUGUGUUGGAAAGUUAUGACAACGUGGUAGAGAUAUGUAGGAUUUGGCGUGGACAGCUGGGGUUUUAGUUUUGUUUGUUGGUGUUUUGAGGCUGAGAUGGUUGUCAUAGCCAUGAGAGGUAGACGAGUUCGAGAGACGAACAGACGUCACAGCCAUUACUGAUUUUGCAGCUUGAGACAAGAACUGUCGUUGAUUUGGAGAAACAUGGAAAAUGGAAUAGUGGAACAGAUUUAUGACCAUGAAGUCAACAUGAGCAUUUGAAGGACACUUGGGAUGUAUAGUGAACUUUUGACAGCUGUUAAUUUUAAACAGUGAACGCCGAAUAAGAGCAUUGUUUGAAUUUAAUUAACUAUUUAUGUUUGAUUGUGAAAGGUUGAAAUUAAUGUUGUAGAAUUGUCAAUUUAAAAGGGGGAACAUAACUUUGUAAUUUGGUACCAUGAAGCUUUGUUAAACCUGUGUUUUUGUUUAUUUUAUUUUAAUAUAUUUAUAUUAACUC